UACGUAGGUGACAAGCGUUGUCCGGAUUUACUGGGCGUAAAGAGCGCGCAGGCGGUCGUUCAAGUCGAGUGUGAAAGCCCCCGGCUCAACUGGGGAGGGUCAUUCGAUACUGAUCGACUCGAAGGCAGGAGAGGGUAGUGGAAUUCCCGGUGUAGUGGUGAAAUGCGUAGAUAUCGGGAGGAACACCAGUGGCGAAGGCGGCAUCCUGGACCGACACUGACACUGAGGAGCGAAAGCCAGGGGAGCAAACGGG
rnacentral:rRNA from 1 species